AAACUUUACAAUGCACGCAAGUGUGAUAAGGGGAUCCUGAGUGCUCAUGUAUUGCAUGGGCUUUUCUCAAGAGUAAAUAUCUUGGGGAAUAAGUGGUGGGCAAGACUGGUGCCAGCCGCCGCGGUAACCCCAGCGCCACAAGUGGCAAUCGUUUUUAUUGGGUCUAAAGCAUCCGUAGCCUGUCUUGUAAAUUUUCUGUGAAAUCGUCCAGCUCAACUGAACGGCGUGCAGAAAACACUGCAAGACUAGGGACCAGAAGAGGUCAAGAGUAUUCCUGGGGGAGCGGUAAAAUGUUAUAAUCCCAGGAGGACUACCAAUGGCGAAGGCACUUGACCAGUAUGGAUCCGACGGUGAGGGAUGAAAGCUAGGGGAGCGAUCCGG
rnacentral:rRNA from 1 species